CAGCAGUUGGGUGCUUCUGUCUGUUAACUGGACUGAUCAGCCAUUUCAGCAACAGCCCCCCACCUAAAAGCCAACUUUGUGUAAAAAUUGCAAAAAUUAGACUAAUAACUGAGCCUAUUUUUGCACUAACUGUCCAUCCAGGAAAUCUGUUUUCCAUAUCUGGCCUGUUAGCUCAUUCAACAUUCAUCAUAUACACAUUUAUUUAACAGACAGUGCAUAGGAGUCAGAAAUGUUGUUUCAUGUGAUCGCUUCAAUAAGAUUAUGAGUUUUUAGGCCAUGUGUCAUAAACUUGAGUGAGAUUCAUGCCCUCUGAUUUGUAACUCUGCAAGCGUACACCCUGCUGCUGUUAUCUACUCUUACUGUUUGUCUUUCCUGACAGUCUGCUUCUCUCUGAUUCCAGUGGAAAAACAUUCCCAUCCUUUAGUAUGAAAAUAAGUGUGCGUGCGCAUGUGUAUCGGUGUGCGUCAGUUAUGAUGGCACGUGGAAUCGGCCCCUGUAUAAUAACGCCGGUCAACAGGAAGCACAUUCCACUCCUUCCUGUUUGUGGCCCGUUCUCACUUCCUGUGAAGUGUCUGAUAACUGACACAACCACUUAAUCACCAUUUCACUCAAAAGGUCCCGUCAGAAGACUGAAAUAACUCCACAGUGACCUCACGAUUGAAUAUUUUUAGUUUGUUUUGCUAUAGGCAUUUCAGAGGAUAGAGUGGCGAUGAUGACGGUUACAGGCAUCACACUGAAAGACAGCUCUGGUCUUGGUAUUAGCUUUUUAUUUAAAAACCCCUGCUACCUACUACCACCAAAUGCAAUCUUGCCGUUUACUAUAUAAUUUUUCGACAAUUAGACAGUUUAACUUGAUUGCUAUCCUUGUAACUUUAACUAAGAGAUGACAGUUUUGCAUAUUAAAACAGUCAGCAAACUACUGUACGUUAGCAAGAGACCAACUGGAUGUAUGUCAAACAAUGAAAACAUCGCUUUUAUAGCUCUGUACUGUUUGUUUGUAUGAUCAGGAAAUUUCAUUGUUUUUACGUCAUUUCUGCAUCUUUGGAGGUUUUAUUUUCUGCCUGGCUAACCCAGCAACUCUUCCAUAUAAUUUAGCUUCCAUGCACAGAACACUUAAUCCAGUUUGAGUUUGACUGAGCCGUAAACAUGAGAGUAAAAAUCGAUCCUAACGCUGACACAGACUAUCCAGAAGUCCAUCAGUGUGUAUUUUUUAAAAUAUUCAAAAUCAAUUAAUAUCAAUAAUCCAGCAUGUCUUUACUAAGAUUCAUUCAAACCUGACAGAAGCAGCCUUUAUUACUACUUUGAUUGAUUGGUAAAUAGACCAUUUAUAAAUGGUGAGCAGAUAGUUUAUUAAUGUUUAAUCAUCAUUUAUAAAUACCAUAUAGACCAUUAAUAAUUUUACAAUCUUAAAAACCUAACCCUAACCCUAACUUUAUAAUAACCAUCUAAGUAAUGUUAACAGGUGGUUUAAAAACCAAAUAUUAACCAUUUACAAAGUGCUACUGACACACAUUUUAAUCUAGAUGUUUUACAACCAAUAUUUAAACCCUAUAUAAACCUUUAAUAAAUAGUCUAUUAAUAAUUAAUGAGAAUUAUUAAUCAUAAUUUCAUUGCUUGUUAAUGGUAAAGUAACUAUUAACUUACAUAAAUAAACUAUCUAUUUGGCAUUUAUAAUUGGUCUAUAUGCUGUUUUUAAAUGAUGAUUAAACAUUAAUAAACUAUCUAUUUACCAUUUAUUAAUUAUGGUUACCCUUAAAGCGUUACUGAUUGAUUUAAUAAUCUUGCUGCUAAAAUUACAUUUCUAAAGGACUAGAGUAAUGUGGACAUUAAACCUAUGGCUGAUGUGAGCUAACUGGGUGCUUUUCAAUGCUGCUAUAUGACCCACUGAGGAUCCUGCUCACACUGACAUUGAGAGACCAUGAGAGGGUAAAAAUGGUAUCUAAAAAAUCUCUCUGUAGAAAGUGAAUUGCUAACUAUGCACUAAAAAGAGAUUUCAACUCGUGUCAAAAAUCACACCUCAUUUACUCUUUUGAGCAUUUAAGAGCUAACUCCAACGAAAAACAAAAACUCAUGCUGUACUAAUCAUUGAUGACAACAUUUCUUCAAGCACAACCACAAGGUGAAAUUGCUGUCAAGUUCCCAGUGGAAGUGUUGUUGGAGCAGCCAGACAGGCAGACACUAAAGGGGAACGGCUGAGUCAUGGUCAGUCCCCACGUUUGUUUGAGUUGCCGUUGAGGGGGAAUGUUGGAGCAGCUCCAGCGAUUGUGAGGGCCAGGCGCUGUGUGGCAGCCUCACUUCCCCGACUCAAGUGGCCAGGGAGAUAAAGAGGCUUCCAGGGGGGCAUGCCAGCAGCGGCCUCAGUCCCAAACAUAAACAAACACUCAGUCUAUGAAUUUAAUGUGGGCAUAAUGUGAAUAUAAGCUGCAAAAGCAAAUCCAGCUGAUUGGCUUGUAGCUGAAGCAGCAAGCUGAGACUGUUUCUCUUUUUUUAUUUACUCAACAAUAUGACCGUGGAUAACGUAACUGAUUGCUGGUGUAGAUGUUCAACAGACAUAAGGAAACUCCAGAGCUGUGUGUGUGAUCCAACGAAAAACACGAGUCUAGACAGGAAGACAUAUGAGGAGGAAAGGGAAGCGCUCAGAAUUAGCAUGAGAUUAAAGUUAUCUGUAUUUAUCUAUAAGAGUCCGUAGACUCCAUCGAAGUCCACUCCCUUCCCCACUGGAGUAAACACAGGAAGAUGCUGCUUAUGAGUGUCUGUGAUGCUGAAGACCCUCAGAUACCAGCACUGAUCGGACAGAUUCACCUUCUGCAACCAUUACCCCCAGUGAGUUACAAGUAGCUCUGCUGUGCUGUAGUACGUACAGACCAGUUUUGUGACAACGCUUGAUUCAACACUUAAUCCGACUGAGAUAUUUUGACAAGUCACUCAUCGAAAAAAGUGACUUUUACACGAGCAUUCAUAGAGACAGCCUGUGAGGGUUCUCAGUCAUCAGGUCAAGACAGUUUUAUGUUUAAUCCAACAAGUAGAUAGACUUCUGCCUUGCAAAUGACAAGGUGAGAAGUGUUACAGAAGUCCACCUACAUAUUUGGAUUGAACUGAAAUCCUAUUAGAUAUAAUAUGCUGAUAUGACCUCACCUUUUUACACAAGCAUAAGACUUAAAUUGGUGUUUAAGUGAGUAAAAUUUUAAUGCGUUAACUCUCUUGGCAUGUAAGCAUUGCUGACUGUAUAUGAAAUUACAUUGUGAGCUGUGAAGCCACACGUGCGCCAGUCACACUACUGACGCCACAUCCAUAAGGCUAACCAAAACACUCAUAAAACUUUCCUGUAAAAUGUCCAGGAUAUGUCCAAUGAACGAUAUAUUGGUGUUUUUUUAUGUUUUGUCCUGCUGUUCCUCCUCUAUUCAUCACAUAAAAUUCACCUGUUCAUAAAUCAGCACGAAAAGAGCAAACUUUUAAUUGUCUGUUUAUCCGGUCUGUUAUAAUGAGGAGGCAGGCUUUAGGAGCUGUACUGCUACCAACCACCAGGGGGAGCUCUAAGGGAUGAGUUUUACCUUCAGGCAGCUGUUGUCCAUAUUUUCAUACAACCUGCUGUGUUAACCCUAAGUAUAUUUUGCAGCGUAAUGAAUCUACACUGAUGUUUUUUACCUUUCUCGCAUUAUGUUUACAUGCAUUGCUAAAUUUUUCAUGACCGGAAUCUUGGCUAUCUUUAAUUUGAGUCUUUACCAAUGAUGUUUAUUAGUUUCUCAGAGAGAAUCUAUACAGUUUUAUCUUAUUUUGAAGCAGUAAAUCAUGCUCAUAUAAAUCCACUACAUACUUUGAACCACCAUGUAGCAGUUACAACGCUGAAUUACUUUCUUCCCCUUCUCCUAAACAUGAUUUCGCCCACAUUCAACAUAAAUCAUAUUGUUACUAUCAGCAUGUGAUGUUAAAAAACCACAUGGUAACACUCCUGUGAGUGCACAUUCCUGCAGAGAUAUUUAUGUUGACCUUAAAUGACUACAUUGCUGUUAAAGAUAUAUAGUUAUGGUGCUUGUGAGGGAGGCUGGAUGAUGGUGUUUGUAGAGGCCCUGAGGAGGAGGGGGGUCUGCUACAGAGCAAUUUAAUCUGGAGGAAGAUCACAUACUUUGGAAAGUUUAUCUUCCUGUGGCCAUUAGCUGACUCGAUGAGACAGAGCAACUGCAAAAAAAAAAAAAAAAAGAAAUGUGGGUACAGGCUUUCAACAACUGUGAAUUUUUGUUACAGAUCACCAGUAUAAAGCAUAUGGAUCUUGUCAUGUUACAUAUAAUUUUCUCUGAACAUCAGCACAAGUUCACAUCUGGCAGCUGAAUCAAAUGAUGUUGAGUCUGAUGCUGAGAUAUUUGCGUUUUGUCUCUUGCUCCUUUUUUCCCACUAAAUUUUAACCUAAGCCAUACACACAGCUACAUAGAUGAAAUAAAGAUUUAAUAAUUUAGUUAUUACAGUUUUACAAUAGCCAAACCUACUGUGUGGUGGAGCAGAUGGACUCAAUCCAUCCCUGGUCUAUGCUAAUAUCCCUGAUCAUGAUCAGUGAAUGUGGGUGGACACCCAAAACGUGUUUUAAGUGGGUGUUUUUUUGUUUUUGUUUUUUCAAAAUAAGUAAUAAACUCAAUACUGAUCUAAGAUAUUAUAUUAGAUCAUAUAUAUUGCACAUCAUGGUCAGCACCCAUUUAGGGCAUCUCUUGAAUCUCAUAAUAUGAAGAGACGAAGGCGUUCUGACAUGUUUAUAUACAGAAUGGGUUAGAUGCAGGAAAACUGUCGGUCUGGAGAGCAAAAGUUUGGAACAUAUCAGCUGUAUACACUCCAGGAUCACAUUGGCUGAAGUCUGAGUAUUGUUUAGCCUUUAUUUAUCUCUGUAAACAGACAUCUGCACCGUAGUGUGCCCACUAAUCCACUCUUGGACACUGUCUCUCAACUCCAACUGUAGUUGUACUGUAAACAAAAGUGAGGCACACAGAUGGAAGUUUUGGCUGUAUGUCAUUCACCCCCAGCCUCUUUUAUAGCUGAGGCCCUGAAGAGUUGAACAUCACCCCUAGUUGGUCGGUUUUUAUGAUUACCAUUUCCAAAGCUAAAAAAAGAAAAGAACAGUCUCACCAAACCCCAUGAACUUUUGGCCUCCCUGCCUCAAAAGACACCACUGUCACUUACCAAUAGGAGUCACUUCUUACUCCUAAUGUUUGUGUUACUUUUGUUGGUUAUUUGUAAGGCAUUAGUCAACUGAGUCUGUUUCAUAAUUAAAACUUCUUUAGCAUUUCUUUUCUGUUGAUAAUCUGGUACUUCUUUUACAUCUCAAAUUACUUAAAACUCUUAAAAAUACUCCAUACCAGUUUGGGUUUUUAUUGAAGACUACUCUCAUUUUCUCUCCUCUUUCCUCUCUCCUUCAUCUCUUCAGAUCACCUGUGCCCCCCUUGUGGUUUCAUCACAGUCUUGCCCACUCACCCAAAACAGCUUAAAACACUCAAACUGAGUCAUUUCACCUUCCUAGUCUUGGUUUCUGUCUUCAUCAAAACAACAUUUCAACAGUUAACUCAGAGGCUGAAGUAAUUGCUUAUAAUUUCAUUUAGACACGCACUCAUGUACAGACACCGGUCUCUAUCUCUGCCUCACUUGUUUCCUCCCUUCCCCUCCUUCUCCCUUUCUUUCAUGCUUUUCCCCCCAGGAGACAUGAUUUACUUGUGUCAGGGACAAGGACAUCUGCCUAUUAGCAAGUGCCACUGACGUAGGCAUCGCCAUCCCCUCCUCCUUAUUAUCCCCCUUCCUCAUCUGCCUUCUUCUCCCGCUCCUCCUCCUGCCUUACUCAAAUUGGGGUCGUCAACCUUCAUCGUGCUGGCUGGUGAAUCAUCGGUGGGACUUGUGCCGCACCAGGAGGAGGGGACGCCGUCCGCCCAGGAUACUUCCGUCCUCCUUCCCAAAUUACCAGGGUAACCCGACAUUGUCUGCUCUCUACUGUCACAUCACUCUGUCGCACAAAGAGAGGAAUAAAGAGACAGCAGGAGAGGUGGAAUAUGAAUGAGGGACUCGUGAAAAACACAGUUAAAUGCUGACAUUGGUUUAUCAUAGCUCAGCAUCUUAUGUUUCUUUAUCAGACUGCCAUUAGUGGUGAUAAUGAAGUCAUCCUAGCACUCCUUUACUCCAUGAACAAGACAGACAGACAGACAGACAGACCAUAAACAGAAGAUGAAGCUUUUGUGUAGCACCAGGCAAAGUGGGGAUAAUAGAUGUUGUGUUAUCUGAAUUGAAAGUAAUAUACUUGCAAGAAAUAAGCUACAAGACUACCAAGUGGAAACCAUAGACUGUAUAUACUAUGGACAACUUGGUUCCACCCUCUGCCAGUAGAUGGAUUUGAAGCUGAAAAGCUCUCUGUAUUUCCAUGAUUUUUCUUCAUUUCCUGAAACCAGCGCUGCGCAGUAGAGUUGUGUGCGUUUGGCAGGAGAGUCACCGAGAGUCGCUGUGAUGACGCUCGGCUCAAACAGCGUAUCCCCGGGGUGAGCUACGCAAUCUUAGUACGCCCAUAGGCUGUAUCAAGUGUCAAUCACAGAAAACAUGAACACCCUAAUAACUUUUAAAAACGGAGCUGUACAGAAAAAAGAGGACUUGAGCACAAACCAGACUUACAGUAACUACAUGUCAACAUCGCAAGCAGAGGGGAGAAAAAUUUAUAUUCUGUGUAAUAAAUUUCAAAAUUUUGUCCACAGCUCCAUAAACUGGAUAUGUAGCCCGCCGCCAGAGGGUGCUGUUCUCAGAGUGGCUUCACCCAGCAAGGAGGCAGACUCUGUCUGUCUGUAUACAGUCUAUAGUGGAAACCCCCAGUGUUGCAAACAAGGCCAGAGUGGAAGUGCAAAAAGAUGCAGGUCCUGGAGUGUCCACUUGAGGCAAAUUCAGACAUGCCAAGUUAAAUAAAAAUAUAUAAGUGGUAUGUUGGCGAUUCCACUAUUCUGUGCGUGUGUUUUUGGCAAAUCAUUUACACAGAAUAUAAAUUUUUCUCCCCCCAGGUUAUGAUGUUGACAUGUAAUUAUUGUAAGUUCAUGUUUUCUAUGAUUGACACUUGAUACAGCCUUCAGGCGUUCAAAGAUUGUAUACCUUACCUGGGGGAUACGCUGUUUGAGCAGAGCGUCAUCACAGCGACUCUCCCAUCGAACACUGCUGUGCAAAUGCAGGUUUCAGGAAAUGGAGAAAAUCCCCAAAAUACAGGGAGCAAUUUGGCUUUAAAUUCGUGCAAUGACGGGAGGCGGAGUCAUGUAGUCCAUACUAGAUACAGUCUGUGGGGUUAAUGCAUCCUAAAGGGUGCAGAGAUAAGGAGGAGUGGCAUCAAGUGACAGAAGUGUCAGAGAAAACUUGUUGAAAACUUGUUGAAAACAGAGAAAACUUGUGCACCAGCCUCUCUGUUGAGAAAGUGGCCAAGAAACCAUAACAAAAACUAGGCUAUCAACCACCACAGGCUGCACCUCUAGAUUUAGGUAAUUCUAACAAACUCUAACCAAUGCACUAUUCUCAAUUCUCAUUUGUCUCUGCGACCUAAACGUGGUCAGUGUUUGUAACCAGCAGAAUGUAGAGAACAGCAGGGUUGUGUGUGUAAAUGUGAUUUUUCUAUGUGUGUGUGUGUGAGGCAAAAGGUCAGCUUCAGCUCAGACCAACAGCACAUCAGCUCGGCUGCAGCUUAUUUGCUGAUGCUAUCUGCGAGCAGGAAUCUGAGUAAACACUGAGGUUAGAUAACAAGGAGAUCUUUGCUCGAUCUUUCUGCGCUGCACCACAAACUUCAGAUGCCCCCAAAACCUAAAUCCUUACUGAAAACAAACCCUCCAAUCUGCAUCUUUAUUUAUACUUCCGUUAACACAGGGACCCCUCGCUGUACGUCCAGGCCUCUCUGUUUCUAUCUCUCCUUUCUCUGAGUUAGAGAAUGUAAAACUUGAGUGCCCUUUUCCUCUUGUUAAAUUGCCAGAUUUCUGUCCUUAAGCUCACUCCUGUUCUCCUUGCACAGAUAUCAACGGACACAGAUGUCCUGCUUGGACAGACAGCCACAUCCUGCCAAAGAUAGUAACAGAGAGAUGAAUCACUCCAUCAGUUUAUUCAAGCAAGAGAUUUUCAAUCACUCCAGCACGAAACAGUGAAUCAACAGGACAUAUCAAUUUACUGAAUGAUAGAGAGGUUUCUGCUUUGUUUUGUUUGGGGUUUGUGCUUUCACAUUUUGUUCUCAAACAUUUGGAGAAUCUGGAAACGUGUGACCUUGUGGCCUGUUUCAGGUUGUGUGGAGUAUGAGCUGCAUGCAUGCACAACACUACAGGCCACACCUGGACACAUCUGGAGCCGGGGAGGGCAGCCCUGCUCUGACCCCGACACAUCUGGAGCUGACACUCUCAGAGACAGCGAGGAGAUGCAUAAAGAACACUCACACAUAUGUACAGUAUAUGUUCUCCAUGGGAAAUACACAAACGCUGAAAGGCAUGCACUCCUACACUCCUGAACACACACAUGUCCAUGUAUGUGUGUCAUCUAUGUAUCUGCAUGCACAUACACACACGCAAAAAAGACAAAUGCUAAAUCACACACACGCCCACCAGAUGCAGCUGGUUCAUCCUGCCAUCUCAUGAAUUGUGAGCCUGCCUUUUUAUUUUAUGUAUAGAGGCAGACUCGUGUUUUAUCACACUGUCUCAGGGAGAAAUAUGAGCAGGUGCUGCAGCUGUUUGAGCUGCAUUUUGACCUCCCAGAAGAGCCAACGAACAGUGCACGACAAAACAUCCUGAAUGAAAGCUCUGAGCCUCGCUCUGCAUUUAACUAAGGAAACCAAAUUAUUUGUGUUGAAAUAAACGACUGAUCAUCCACUGUACAAUAAAGUUUAAACUGUUUUUUGUUUACUUGUUUAUGACUUUUCUGGUCAGUAUUUGGGUUACAUUAUUUGUUGAUCACUUCCUCUAUAAUACUCACACACAAAGCGUAAAAUUAAUUUAGGGUCAAACACACCGUAACACUGAGUUAGACACCCCCUCGAGAGAUGAAUGUUGCCGACCGCUUGCUUCUCUAGUUAUACCAACUUUAUUAAUGACCGCACAAUAGCAAUACACAGUGGUCUGAGGAGCCAUUAACAAACCUCAACCAAAAAGCCACUCUAUAGCCACAAAUAAUGCUCAGAACAGCACCUAACUUCAUCAACAGUACAUAAGGGUCCCAGCCACAGGACUAGCCACCAAACAGCUUUUAAACUUUGCCUAAUUUCUGUAAGAGACUAAAUGCAACUCACCUUCUCUCUUCCAGCAGCCGCUUGUUUGUAGGGAGACCUCAGGCCAGUCCAUUACGGAGUGCAACAUGGUGACGCAGCUCAAGGAAGAACAUUUAUGAUCAUUUCUUUAUCAUUUCCGUGAAGUAAAAAUCAUCAUAUUAAUCAUUUUGCACUGCAGACACAGUAGUUCUUCCGCAUUAGCGUCUCGGUCUGAUUGCAUUUCAAGGAAGAAGGCAGCUCAAGGAAGAACAUUCAUGAUCAUUUCUUCAUGGAAAUCCAAUCAGAAGAAGAACUACUGCGUCUGCAGUGCAACAUUAUUAAUAUGCUGAUUAUUACUUCAAGGAAAUGAUAAAGAAAUGAUCAUAAAUGUUCUUCCUUGAGCUGCGUCACCCCGCAGCAGUCCGUAAUGGACUGGCCUGAGGUCUCGCUACAAACAAGCGGCUGCUGGAAGAGAGUAGGUGAGUUUUGUUUAGUCUCUUUGCUAAAGAAAUUAGGCAAAAAAGAUGCUAAAAAGCUAAGCUAAGCUAAGCUAAAAAGAUGUUUGGUGGCUAGUACUAUGGCUGGGACCCUAUAUGUCCUGUUGAUGAAGUUAGGUGCUGUUCUGAGCAUUAUUUGUGGCUAUAGAGUGGUGUUUGGGUUAGGCGCGUGGGACCGCUGUGUAUUGGUAUCGAUCGUUACUAAAGUUGGUAUAACGAGAGACGCAAGCAGUUGGCAACAUUCAUCUCCCAAGGGGGUGUCCAACUUGGUGUUACGGUGUGUUUGACCCUAACUUAAUUUUACGCCGGAAUAUCCCUUUAACCCCUUAUAAAACUGUUUACAUGCUGUCAAUUGGUUUGUUAUGACUUAUAAUCCAACUAAGCGAAGCUGCAGGUGUUCCUGUUUGGGUUUGAAGGCAUGUAGCACUGAACUCGUCUUAUUUUUAUCCUCAGGAAGAGCUCUACUGCUGGUGGGCCGAGUGGGACACUCGUUUGUUAGUUUAUUUAUUUCCCAUGGCCAAUUACCAGGGCAGGUUUGUGUCAACACAGAGGCCAGCUUCCUGUUAUUACUGACCACACACACACACAUGCUUGCAUAUACAGACCUGUAAUAUAUGUUCUGUAAUUGUAUGCAGGCACGCAGACAGACAGACUAAUGUGGCAUACGCACAGGACACAUCCACAAACAACCUCACAUCCUCGUCUGUAAAGGUCUGUAAACUCACCUCAUUUCUUAAACACAAACUCAGAAAAAGGUACAAAGCAAAUAAUGAGUUAAAGUAAAUGCUUUUUCUAAAAACUGGCAUUGGUUUGUUUUUCUGUAGCCCCUUUCAUAUGGGUGAGUGCUUUUUCACUGUUUAAAGGUGAUUUAAAGUCGAUAAUUUUUAGCCUGUUAUCCAAAAUAACAUAAAAAACAUGUAUUUGACCUUUUCCUUUAUAUGUCUUCUGCAGUACUCGCCUCUUGCAAUAUGAGCCCAGAAUUACCAUUUAAGAAGCUAUACUAUAGAGCUGUAGAGGUGUUCUGCUGAAAGUAAUGGCAUGACUUGCCUGGUUAUAACUGUGGCAGAGCAUCCAGUGUUUGGCCAAUGAUCUACAGUGCAUUAUUGAUGAGAGCACAGUUUAAAUUGAUAUACGAUAAAACUCAUUGUGUGUUUUUUUUAUGAAUGGAGAAGCUGCUCAAACUACAACAUCACCGCUUCACAUCGGUUUAUACUUCACAUGAACCUGUAGGACUUGCGUUUGCAUGUAAAUGCAGCUGAUUCGUGUCUGUCUCGGAGCGCCGUUUUAGUGAAUGAAUCAGUGCAGCAGCAGUAGUAGUUUCUGGAGUGUGUGGGCGGCUGUUUGAAUGAAAGACGAGUCCAUCCUUGUUCAAACGUCCUUGAGCGAGAUAAUGAAUGCGUAUCAGCUUGAAGGAUGCUCUCUCUCUCUCCCCCUCUUUCUCUCUCUCUCUCUCUCUCUACCACAAACAUACACACAAUGAACCACACACACUCAAACAAAGGAUCCAUCUCUGCCUCCUCACUGACCUUGUCUUUUGCGUCUGCAAUCGUGAUACAACUGAGAUGGACUGUUGAUGAGGAGUGCAACUGUGGAACUUCUGUUUGUCUGCUCUUGGCUCAUUUUAUUAGCAUUUGCUUAUACGAUUAUCAAUAGUAGAAUUGACUAUCUGUAUAUUUUUCAACCUUUUUCUCUUCAAUCGCUUGUCCAUAAACAGGUGUAUCCAAUUUAUUUUAAUGUAAUCAUGAUACAUGAGCCGUGAGUCUUUACAUCUGACUCUUACCCAGUGGCAGUACCACAAGACAUUGAAAUUACAAAUGUCAAAAGCCUCCGACUGUUAUCCACAAAAUAUUCUCAGAUUUAUUAAAAAGCAUUUAUCGGGGUGUCAGUGGGCUGGCAGCCUCAGUGGGGCUCAGGUACAGAGACUGCAGUCCUCAUCCCAGAGGUGGCUCGUUUGACUCUUCGCACUGACCUUUUGCUGUGUGUCCUCCCAUUUCCUGUCUCUCUUCAGCUGUCCUAUUUGAUAAAGGCAAAAUAGCCCAAAAAACAUUAUUUCAAAACAAAAUUUAAAGCAUUCAUUCCAAAGGUUCAAGCAAGAUGUGUUCAUACUUUCCCUAUUAGGAGUUCAGUCAGGUCCCUUAAGUCCUUUGAGUGUUAAGUACGUGACUCAGAAGGAAGAGGGGUAUGAAGUGUUGGCAUGAAAAUUUUUAAGCACAAUAACAUUAACUCCCCAGGUCGCUUUCUCUCUGGAGAAACACUGACCUCAGGACAAAAGAAUGAAACCUUAUCGCUGCAAAAACUCUCGCUGGAAUUCCUCGCCGGUGAAUGAACAACAUCAGACCCUGUUUGUGUGGCUGUGUCUGUGUAUAGUCUGUCACUGUGUGUGUGGGUGUGUAUGUGUGUGUAUGUGUGUGUACUUCCAUAUAGGCCCAACUCAGAUGAGUGGACAUACUUGCGCAAAUAUCUAAUGCUUGUCUUUGUCUCUCUUUCCUCUUUGCUUCUUCCCUUGUUUUCUGCAGUGUCAUUCUCUUUUCAGGCCCUCCUGGAGUCUACAGUCAGCUAAGCAUCUAGGUGUUUACUGGAAGCAUCUAGCCUGUGAUCUAAACAUUUUCCCCUUAUGGUAUUGUCUGUUUUUCUGCUUUUUUACUGAGAAGUAAGGGUCGGAUCCCAAUGUCUGAAAAAGGGAGCAAAGGAAGCAAGAUACAGCAAUAAAGUUCAGUUUAAUUUCAGCGUGCCCUUAGCCAAGCUC